AUUGAACGCUGGCGGCAUGCCUUACACAUGCAAGUCGAACGGUAACGGGCCUUCGGGUGCCGACGAGUGGCGAACGGGUGAGUAAUGUAUCGGAACGUACCUUUCAGUGGGGGAUAACGUAGCGAAAGUUACGCUGAUACCGCAUAUUCUGUGCGCAGGAAAGCAGGGGAUCGCAAGACCUUGCGCUGAUUGAGCGGCCGAUAUCAGAUUAGCUAGUUGGUGAGGUAAAGGCUCACCAAGGCGACGAUCUGUAGCGGGUCUGAGAGGAUGAUCCGCCACACUGGAACUGAGACACGGUCCAGACUCCUACGGGAGGCAGCAGUGGGGAAUUUUGGACAAUGGGGGCAACCCUGAUCCAGCCAUGCCGCGUGAGUGAAGAAGGCCUUCGGGUUGUAAAGCUCUUUCGGCCGGGAAGAAAUCGUAUCAGCUAAUACCUGGUGCGGAUGACGGUACCGGCAUAAGAAGCACCGGCUAACUACGUGCCAGCAGCCGCGGUAACAC
rnacentral:rRNA from 1 species